rnacentral:rRNA from 1 species
AGAGUUUGAUCCUGGCUCAGAAUGAACGCUGGCGGCGUGCUUAACACAUGCAAGUCGUACGAGAACACUCUAGCUUGCUAGGGUAAGUAAAGUAGCGCACGGGUGAGUAACGCGUGGGUAAUCUACCUUCGAAUUGGGGAUAACGUUGCGAAAGCGACGCUAAUACCGAAUAACAUCCAUUAAUCUUCGGGUUUUUGGAUCAAGGGUGGCCUCUACAUGUAAGCUACUGUUUGAAGAUGAGCCCGCGUACCAUUAGCUUGUUGGUGGGGUAAUGGCCUACCAAGGCAGCGAUGGUUAGCUGGUCUGAGAGGAUGAUCAGCCACACUGGAACUGACACACGGUCCAGACUCCUACGGGAGGCAGCAGUGAGGAAUUUUGCGCAAUGGGGGAAACCCUGACGCAGCAACGCCGCGUGAGUGAUGAAGGCUUUCGGGUCGUAAAGCUCUGUCAAGUGGGAAGAACCUGCAGUAUGCUAAUAUCAUAUUGCACUGACGGUACCACUGAAGGAAGCACCGGCUAACUCCGUGCCAGCAGCCGCGGUAAUACGGGGGGUGCAAGCGUUAUUCGGAAUCAUUGGGCGUAAAGAGCACGUAGGCGGCCUGGUAAGUCAGAUGUGAAAGCCCGGGGCUUAACCCCGGAAGUGCAUUUGAUACUGUCAGGCUUGAGUAUGGGAGAGGGAAGUGGAAUUCCUGGUGUAGAGGUGCAAUUCGUAGAUAUCAGGAGGAACACCGGUGGCGAAGGCGACUUCCUGGACCAAUACUGACGCUGAGGUGCGAAGGCGUGGGUAGCAAACAGGAUUAGAUACCCUGGUAGUCCACGCAGUAAACGUUGUUCACUAGGUGUAGCGGGUAUUGACCCCUGCUGUGCCGCAGUUAACGCAUUAAGUGAACCGCCUGGGGAGUACGGCCGCAAGGUUAAAACUCAAAGGAAUUGACGGGGGCCCGCGCAAGCGGUGGAGCAUGUGGUUUAAUUCGACGCAACGCGAAGAACCUUACCUGGAUUUGACAUCCCGGGAAUCCUAUCGAAAGACUGGAGUGCCCUUCGGGGAGCCCGGAGACAGGUGCUGCAUGGCUGUCGUCAGCUCGUGUCGUGAGAUGUUGGGUUAAGUCCCGCAACGAGCGCAACCCUUGUCUUUAGUUACCAUCAUUCAGUUGGGGACUCUAAAGAUACUGCCCCGGUCAACGGGGAGGAAGGUGGGGAUGACGUCAAGUCC